rnacentral:tRNA from 1 species
GGGGUUGUAGCUCAGUGGUAGAGUGCUCACCUCGAAUGUGGAAGGUACUGACUGGGUUUGAUCCUCAGCACCACA